GACGAACGCUGGCGGCGUGCUUAACACAUGCAAGUCGAACGGAAAGGCCCUGAUUUUGUGGGGCGCUCGAGUGGCGCACGGGUGAGUAACACGUGAGUAACCUGCCCCUGAAUGUGGGAUAACUUUAGGAAACUGGGGCUAAUACCGGAUAGGAGAUACUGCUGCAUGGGGGGGGUUGGAAAGUUUCGGCGGUUGGGGAUGGACUCGCGGCUUAUCAGCUUGUUGGUGAGGUAGUGGAUUACGAAGGCUGUGAAGGGUAGCCCGCCUGGGAGGGUGACCGGGCACAUUGGGACUGAGAGAGGGCGCAGAAGCCAACGUGAGGCAGCAGUGGGGAAUAUUGCACAAUGGGCGGAAGCCUGAGGCAGCAGCGCCGCGUGCGUGAUGACGGCCUAUGGGUUGUAAACCGCUUUCUCCUUUGACGAAGCGGUAGUGACGGUAAUUGGUAAAGAAGCACCGGCUAACUACGUG
rnacentral:rRNA from 1 species